UACAGAGGUCCCAAGCGUUGUUCGGGUUCACUGGGCGUAAAGGGUGCGUAGGUGGUUGGGUAAGUUUGAUGUGAAAUCUCUGAGCUCAACUCAGAAACUGCAUUGAAUACUAUCCGGCUAGAGAAUCGGAGGGGGGACUGGAAUACUUGGUGUAGCAGUGAAAUGCGUAGAUAUCAAGUGGAACACCAGUGGCGAAGGCGAGUCCCUGGACGAUUUCUGACACUGAGGCACGAAAGCUAGGGGAGCAAACAGG
rnacentral:rRNA from 1 species